GGUAAUGUGGCCGAGUGGUUAAGGCGCCAGUUUUAGGUAAUCAGCCAAAACACUGGUGGGAAACCUCGCGAGUUCGAAUCUCGUCAUUGCCA